rnacentral:rRNA from 1 species
CCUACGAGAGUCAGCAGUGGGGAAUAGUGCACAAUGGGGGAAACCCUGAUGCAGCGACGCCGCGUGAAGGAAGAAGUAUUUCGGUAUGUAAACUUCUAACAGCAGGGAAGAAAAUGACGGUACCUGACGAAGAAGCCCCGGCUAACUACGUGCCAGCAUCCGCGGUAAGACGUAGGGGGCAAGCGUUAUCCGGAUUUACUGGGUGUAAAGGGAGCGGAGGAGGUUUCGCAAGUCCGAAGUGAAAGCCCGGGGCUCAACUCCGGGACUGCUUUUGAAACUGUUGAACUAGAUUGCAGGAGAGGUAAGUGGAAUUCCUAGUGUCGCGGUGAAAUGCGUAGCUAUUAGGCGGCACACCAGUGGCGAAGGCGGCUUACUGGACUGUAAAUGACGCUGAGGCUCGAAAGCGUGGGGAGCAAACAGGAUUAGAUACCCCAGUAGUC